UUUGUUGGGGAGCUGGAUCUGGUCAUUCUUCCUUGUCAAGGCGGUUGUGUGCGCUCUUUUAUACGGCUGAGGUAUAAGUUGUUAACCCUACGUCUUUUGUCUGACGAUAAUUGUAACAAAAUGAAGCGGAUUUGGUUUAUUGGGCUGGUCUGUGCACUUUUAGCAUUCGCAUCUGUGAGAGCAGAAGACGAGCUUGACAUCGACGGCGCUGUGGAGGAUGAUCUGGGAAAGAGCCGAGAUGGAUCCAAGACGGAUGACGAGGUGGUGCAGAGAGAGGAGGAGUCAAUCCAGCUGGAUGGGCUGAACGCAGCUCAGAUCAAAGAGAUUAGAGAGAAGUCAGAGAAACAUGUCUUCCAGGCAGAGGUCAACCGCAUGAUGAAACUCAUCAUCAAUUCGCUCUACAAGAACAAGGAGAUCUUCUUGAGGGAGUUGAUCUCCAAUGCUUCUGAUGCUUUGGAUAAGAUCAGACUGAUGUCUCUGACCAAUGAGGACGCACUGGCAGCCAACGAGGAGCUCACCAUCAAGAUCAAGUCUGACAAGGAGAAGAACAUGCUCCACAUCACAGACACUGGUGUCGGCAUGACAAAAGAAGACCUGAUUAGAAACUUGGGUACCAUCGCCAAGUCUGGCACCAGCGAGUUCCUGAACAAGAUGACAGAGGUUGAAAGUGAGGGCCAGUCCACCUCGGAGCUGAUUGGACAGUUCGGCGUGGGCUUCUACUCCGCCUUCCUGGUUGCUGACAAGGUGAUUGUGUCUUCGAAGCACAACAACGGCACGCAGCACAUCUGGGAGUCCGACUCCAAUGAGUUCAGUGUGAUCGAGGACCCCCGUGGAGACACCCUAGGAAGGGGCACCACCAUCACGUUGGUGAUGAAGGAGGAGGCUACAGACUACCUGGAGCUGGAGACCAUCAAGAACCUGGUCAGGAAGUACUCCCAGUUCAUCAACUUCCCCAUCUAUGUCUGGUCCAGCAAGACUGAGACUGUUGAGGAGCCCAUCGACGAGGACACCGAGGCAGAAGAGAAAGAUGCCACUGAGGAUGAGGUAGAGGUGGAAGAAGAGGAGGAUGAGAAGGAGGACAAGCCAAAGACGAAGAAGGUUGAGAAGACUGUGUGGGACUGGGAGCUGAUGAACGACAUUAAGCCGAUCUGGACGAGACCAGCCAAAGAAGUAGAGGAAGACGAGUACAAGGCUUUCUACAAGACCUUCUCCAAGGACACAGAUGAGCCCCUGUCCCAUAUCCACUUCACAGCCGAGGGUGAGGUCACCUUCAAGUCCAUCCUGUUUGUCCCUGCUGCCGCACCCAGGGGCAUGUUCGACGAGUACGGAACCAAGAAGAACGACUUCAUCAAGCUGUUUGUCCGUAGAGUCUUCAUCACCGAUGACUUCAAUGACAUGAUGCCCAAAUACCUGAACUUUGUCAGGGGAGUGGUGGACUCUGAUGACCUGCCCCUGAACGUGUCUAGAGAAACCCUGCAGCAACACAAGCUGCUCAAGGUGAUCCGUAAGAAGCUGGUUCGUAAGACCCUGGACAUGAUCAAGAAGAUCGCCGAAGAGCAGUACAACGACAAGUUCUGGAAGGAGUUUGGCACCAACAUCAAGCUGGGUGUUAUUGAGGACCACUCCAACAGGACCCGUCUGGCCAAACUGCUGCGUUUCCAGACCUCCAACAGCGACACGGUGCUGGCCAGCCUGGAGCAGUACGUAGAGAGGAUGAAGGACAAGCAGGACAAGAUCUACUUCAUGGCCGGGACCAGCCGCAAGGAGGCGGAGUCUUCUCCCUUCGUAGAGAGUCUGUUGAAGAAGGGUUAUGAGGUCAUCUACCUGACCGAGCCAGUAGAUGAGUACUGUGUCCAGGCCUUGCCAGAGUUCGAUGGCAAGCGCUUUCAGAACGUGGCCAAAGAGGGCAUCAAGUUUGACGAGAGUGACAAGGCCAAGGAGACAAGGGAGGCCCUGGAGAAGGAGUAUGAACCUCUCACCACCUGGAUGAAGGACAGUGCCCUGAAGGACAAGAUUGAGAAGGCCAUCCUGUCCCAGAGGCUGACCAAGUCCCCCUGUGCUCUUGUAGCCAGCCAGUACGGCUGGUCUGGUAACAUGGAGAGGAUUAUGAAGGCUCAGGCCUACCAGACCGGGAAAGACAUCUCCACGAAUUAUUAUGCUAGCCAGAAGAAGACAUUAGAAAUCAACCCGAAGCACCCUCUCAUCAAGGAGAUGCUGAAACGUGUUUCUACGGGUGGCGAGGACCAGACUGCCUCAGACCUGGCCAUGGUGCUGUUUGAGACAGCCACGCUGCGUUCGGGCUACCAGCUCCAAGACACCAAGGCCUACGGAGACAGGAUCGAGCGCAUGCUGCGGCUCAGUAUGAAUGUGGACCUCACCGAACAGGCAUAGCCAGCAGAGGAUGAAGCGACUGAGGAGGAAAUUCCAGAUGAAGAAGCGCACAUUAAUUAUACAUUUUAUUUCGUAUUUCUCAUAUAUUUGACAUCAGGAAUGAGUAUAGAAAUUCCUGAAGGAUUGACGGAGCUGUUGCAGAGCUUUACGGUGGAAGUGUUACGGAAUCAGCCGGGAGAUUUGCUCGAGUUCGCGUUGCAGUAUUUCACCCAACUGAAGGACAGUGAGACUACCGGGGCCGCGUUCGGCAAUGACCAACAUUCGGCUUCGCGACCCAGUGGGAAAGCGGUCAAUUUCAUCGACGAAGCCAUGCAGAUCGAUUCUGAAAAUGGAGAGGAAGAGGAGAGUGACGAAGAGGAAUUCAUUGCUCCAGUGAUGAGUCGAUUCAUUAGAAGAGCAUCAGUUUGUGCCGAGGCGUUCAACCCUGAUGAAGACGAGGAAGACAAAGAACAGAGGGUCACCCAUCCUAAAACAGACGAACAGAGACAGAGACUACAGGAGGCUUGCAGAGACAUUCUGCUGUUCAAAAACCUGGACCCGGAACAAUUUUCCCAAGUACUGGACGCCAUGUUUGAGAAGUUCCUUGAGGUAGGAGAACACAUCAUCGAUGAAGACGACGAUGGCGACAACUUCUACGUCAUUGAAAGAGGGACCUUUGACAUCUAUAUGAGGGUUGAUGGUGUAGAGAAGACUGUGGGAGCCUAUGAUAACAAGGGGAGCUUUGGGGAGCUGGCCCUGAUGUACAACACCCCCAGGGCUGCUACCAUCAUAUCCACCUCGCCCGGAGCCCUCUGGUGCCUGGAUCGUCUGACAUUCAGGAGGAUCAUAGUGAAGAACAACGCGUUGAAGAGGAGACUGUACGAGGAGUUCAUUGAAUCACUUCCACUGUUAACAUCAUUAGAGCUUUCAGAGAGAAUGAAGGUGGUGGAUGUGUUGUCUUCUAGAGCCUUCUGCGAUGGAGAACAGAUUAUCUCUCAGGGUGAUCUAGCAGAUUGUUUUUAUAUAGUUGAAUCUGGUCAAGUUAGAAUCACCAUGAAGAGAACCAGGACGAAAAAGGACCAAGAGGAUGUGGAUAUAGCUACAUGCUCCAGGGGACAGUACUUUGGAGAACUGGCCCUCGUCACCAACAAACCCAGAGCUGCUUCAGCGUAUGCUGUGGGAAGUGUCAAGUGUUUAGUUAUGGACGUGCAGGCGUUUGAGAGGUUGCUGGGCCCCUGCAUGGACAUCAUGAAGAGAAACAUUGCAAAUUACGAAGAGCAGCUGGUUACUCUGUUUGAAUGUAGCACCACUGACAUUGAGGAGAUAAACCCAUGAAAACCAGAAGGGGAAAAAGACAGUGAGAUGCAUGAUGACGAUGUCAUAAAUUGGUUAGUGGGAAGUGGAAAAAGUCUUGUCACUUUGUGUGUAACUUUUCCAUAUCUACCUUUGUCAAGUAUUGUUUUCUUUCACAAAAUAGGAAACACGGUAUGUUAGAUAGGUACAGGAUCGAUUACAGAUAAAAUGCAAUGGUUUUUGAAGGAUCGUUGACUUGGGAGUAAUAUUUUUUAUUGAAGCAAAGAUAUCUGUGUUAUUCCAAAACGUAAAUGUUCAUAUGUUCUGUCCUCACAACUUUCCUUUUUUGGAUUUUUUUAUUUUAUUUUAUUUUUUACAAAUGUACAUUUUAUUGAAUUUAUCAAAGACAUUUUAAGUCACUUGUUUUGUAUAUUAUUGAUCACUAUUAUGUUAUGUCAAAUAUAAAUUGGCCUUUUCAGA